GGGCGUGUGNNNNNGUGGUAUGAUUCUCGCUUUGGGCUUUCUCCUGUCCAAACUGGAGAACAAGCAUGCGAGAGGCCCUGGGUUCAAUUCCCAGCUCGCCCC
rnacentral:tRNA from 1 species